AUCAUGCAAGUCGAGCGGACAGAUGGGAGCUUGCUCCCUGAUGUUAGCGGCGGACGGGUGAGUAACACGUGGGUAACCUGCCUGUAAGACUGGGAUAACUCCGGGAAACCGGGGCUAAUACCGGAUACUUGUUUGAACCGCAUGGUUCAAACAUAAAAGGUGGCUUCGGCUACCACUUACAGAUGGACCCGCGGCGCAUUAGCUAGUUGGUGAGGUAAUGGCUCACCAAGGCAACGAUGCGUAGCCGACCUGAGAGGGUGAUCGGCCACACUGGGACUGAGACACGGCCCAGACUCCUACGGGAGGCAGCAGUAGGGAAUCUUCCGCAAUGGACNAAAGUCUGACGGAGCAACGCCGCGUGAGUGAUGAAGGUUUUCGGAUCGUAAAGCUCUGUUGUUAGGGAA
rnacentral:rRNA from 1 species